GGCUUCAUAGCUCAGUUGGUAGAGCAACGUACGAGAAACGCGGAGGUCAUGGGUUCAAAUCCCGUUGAAGCCA
rnacentral:tRNA from 1 species